AUGGCGCCUGCCGCGUUCGACGCCGAGGCCGGCGGCCCGGCGAUCGUGGCCGCGGCAGGCAACGACGCGCACAAGCCCGCCCCCGGGGCCGGGGCCGACGCCGACGCCGGCGCCGCCUUCGUGCUCGAAUCCAAAGGGACGUGGUGGCACGCGGGUUUCCACCUGACGACGGCGAUCGUGGGGCCGACGGUGCUGACGCUGCCGUACGCGCUGCGGGGGAUGGGCUGGGCUCUCGGCAUCACCACGCUCUCCCUCAUCGCCGCCGUCACCUUCUACGAGUACUCCCUCAUGUCCCGCGUGCUCGACCACUGCGAGGCGCGCGGCCGCAGGCACAUCCGCUUCCGCGAGCUCGCCGCCGACGUCCUCGGCUCCGGCUGGAUGUUUUACUUCGUGGUGAUUGUGCAGACGGCCAUCAAUACAGGGGUUAGCAUCGGUUCCAUCUUGCUGGCGGCCGAUUGCAUCGAGAUCAUGUAUUCGAGCCUUGCUCCCGAUGGUCCCCUAAAACUGUACCACUUCAUCAUCAUCGUGGCUGUGGUGCUGGCCUUCCUCUCCCAACUACCAUCGUUCCACUCGCUGCGGCACAUCAACUUGGUCUCACUACUCCUAAGCUUGGGCUACACCAUCCUUGUGUCUGCUGCUUGCAUUCGUGCAGGUUUGUCGAAAAACGCUCCAGCCAAGGACUACUCUCUAAGCUCAUCCAAGUCAGAGCAGACCUUCAAUGCCUUCCUCUCCAUUUCCAUCCUGGCAUCUGCUACCUUGGCGCCGCCGGCCGCCGGAAAGAUGAUGAAGGCUCUGGUGAUGUGCUACUCCGUCAUAGGCUUCACCUUCUACCUCCCGUCGAUCACCGGGUACUGGGCGUUCGGCAGCCAGGUCCAGUCCAACAUCCUCAAGAGCCUCAUGCCGGACUCGGGGCCGGCCCUCGCGCCGACCUGGCUGCUGGGCCUCGCCGUUCUCUUCGUCCUCCUCCAGCUCCUAGCCAUCGGCCUCGUGUACUCCCAGGUGGCAUACGAGAUCAUGGAGAAGAACUCAGCGGACGCGACGCAGGGCAAGUUCUCGCGCCGGAACCUGGUGCCCCGGCUGCUGCUGCGGACGCUUUACCUGGCCUUCUGCGCGCUCAUGGCCGCCAUGCUGCCCUUCUUUGGUGACAUUGUCGGCGUGGUCGGCGCCGUAGGGUUCAUUCCACUCGACUUUGUCCUCCCCGUCAUCAUGUACAACAUCGCGCUUGCGCCGCCGAGGAGGUCCACGCUGUACAUCGCCAACACGGUCAUCAUGGUCGUCUUCACUGGCGUCGGGGCCAUCGGCGCCUUCGCCUCUAUACGGAAGCUCGUGCUAGACGCCGGCCAGUUUAAACUCUUCAGCAACAACGUAGUCGACUGA
rnacentral:rRNA from 1 species